AACGAACGCUGGCGGCAUGCCUAACACAUGCAAGUCGAACGAAACCUUCGGGUCUUGUUGCGCUCGGGUGCGUACCGCGUGGGAACCUGCCCUUAGGUUCGGAAUCCCUCCCCGUGGGGUAUCCUCAUACCGGUUAAUGUCUUCGCACCUAAGAUGUAUCGCUUUUGGAUGGGCCCGCGUUGGAUUCGCUGGUUGGUAGUGUAAAAGCCUACCAUGGCGACGAUCCAUAGCUGGUCUGAUAGGAUGAUCAACCAGAAUGGGAAUGAGACACGGCCUAGAAUCGUACGGGAGGGAGCAGAGGGGAAUAGUGGACAAGGGGCGAAAGCCUGAUAAAGCAACGCCGCGGGAGAGAGGAAGGCCGUAGGGUUGUAAAGCUCUUUUAGACGGGAUGAGAAUGACAGUACCGGGAGAAUAAGCUCCGGCUAACUCCGUG
rnacentral:rRNA from 1 species